UACGGAGGGUGCAAGCGUUAUCCGGAUUCGCUGGGUUUAAAGGGUGCGUAGGUGGGCUGGUAAGUCAGUGGUGAAAUCUCCGAGCUUAACUUGGAAACUGCCAUUGAUACUAUCAGUCUUAAAUAUUGUGGUGGUCAGCGGAAUAUGUCAUGUAGCGGUGAAAUGCUUAGAGAUGACAUAGAACACCAAUUGCGAAGGCAGCUGACUACGCAUAUAUUGACACUGAGGCACGAAAGCGUGGGGAUCAAACAGG
rnacentral:rRNA from 1 species